UCAAUCUGCUGAAUGCAACAUACAUUGCUUAAAGUUUCAACGGCUGAGCAUGUCACAAUCCUGUGUGCAAUGAAAGACAGAGAAAGUCCAGUUUCUGUACCUUGUCAUUCUUAGCUAUUUCUUCUUCUUUGUCUUAUCCAUCACAUCUAUGGAUAUGUGGAUUUUCUUCUAUGUGCUCCUCUUUGUGUUCCUUCAAGUUUCAGGGCUAGCUACAGAAAAAAUUGAUGAAAAAGCGUGUGAAAAAGGCGGAGGCUACUGCAGACCCCUCAAUGAAAAAUCUUGUCGUUUUCCUUUUGUUGAGGAAGGGAACUGUGGCUUUUCAUGGCGACUUUGCUGUAAAAGGGCUCGGACAAUUACCAACGAAAAAGCAUGCAAAGCGGCAGGAGGCUUCUGUACCUUUUUCUACAGUUCCAACUGCAAAUAUCCAUUCGGCACUCACCUUGGGAGCUGCCAUUUCUUUAAACCUUGUUGUCAGAGGAGGUGAAAGUAAAUGGAUGGAGUCAUUGAAUCAGAAGAUGUUGAAGAAAUAGCUCUCCUUACUCCAUUACUCCUUACUCCAACAAUCUCCAUUCAACCUAGAACCCAUGUAUUAAAGCACCCCAUUUCAACUGCAUUGUUUUGUGGAUACAAGUAUUAGCAUGUCUAAAGUUCUGUUCUUACCUUUAAGGAAGUUCACAUUGGAGAAGUUGAGUCACAUAAUAUUUGUAUGUAUGUAUUUUUAUCCUUUACAGUUUUAUCUUGUAAAUCACCUAGAGCAUCGUGGAUGGAGGGCGAUUAAUAAGUAAUUAAAUGAUGAUGAUGAUGAUGAUGAUGAUGAUGAUAUUAAUAAGAGUAAGUCCUAUUCAAGAGUAUUUAUCUGAUGCUGAAAAGAGUCUCAUAUAGACACCAGGAAAACAUUAUGUUGGGAGGGCUGCAGGGCGGGGCGGAGGGCAGAUUUACAACUCACUUCACCACACCAAUGUCUAAAGGACCUAGACAUCUUUCUGAUCCCUUUGUCGAAAGCAUAAAGAAAUAAAGUGUUGAGGUGGUUGAGGCCUCUGAGUAGUGCUGUACAACCCUUUCCUUCUUUUAGCUGUCAGUGUCUAUCUUCAACAAAUUUCAACAGAGCAAACAUUCCAUAUUUUGAAAGAGGUUCUUUGGUAAGUUAUAAUGUGUUUAAAAACAUAGCUCUUGGAUUGAGAAAGGAAAAUACCUAAGAUGUUUUCUAGCAUUUCAUAACUGUAGUAGCUUCCAUCCUGUUCAUCAAGAUCUCUGUAAUGCAAAUGAGAAAAAAUUUCACAUGAUUUUUGUCUUUGAAAUGUUUUCAGGGAUUUUACCAAAUCUCGGUAGUUUCCAGACUUGCAUCACCUGGACACAUAAUCUUCUGAAAACAUUUUAAAUUUACUGAGUCCUUUGCACAGAGGUUGGAUGGACAUCUAUAAGGAGUGUUUGGAUUCCUGCAUGGCAGGGAGCCUCUUUCAGUUCCAUGACUGUAUGAUUUUAACUGUAAUUGAGAGGUCCAGUUAAUAUAAUUAAAAAUUCAUUAUAUUUUGCCUUUCAUUUCAAAUUGGAAUUCAAGGAAGCUUUCAAAAGUGAAAAUAAAUAUGGUCCACAGA
rnacentral:lncRNA from 11 species